rnacentral:rRNA from 1 species
GACGAACGCUGGCGGCGUGCCUAAUACAUGCAAGUAGAACGCACAGGAUGCACCGUAGUUUACUACACCGUAUUCUGUGAGUUGCGAACGGGUGAGUAACGCGUAGGUAACCUGCCUGGUAGCGGGGGAUAACUAUUGGAAACGAUAGCUAAUACCGCAUAAGAACAUUUACUGCAUGGUAGACGUUUAAAAGGUGCAAAUGCAUCACUACCAGAUGGACCUGCGUUGUAUUAGCUAGUAGGUGAGGUAACGGCUCACCUAGGCGACGAUACAUAGCCGACCUGAGAGGGUGAUCGGCCACACUGGGACUGAGACACGGCCCAGACUCCUACGGGAGGCAGCAGUAGGGAAUCUUCGGCAAUGGGGGGAACCCUGACCGAGCAACGCCGCGUGAGUGAAGAAGGUUUUCGGAUCGUAAAGCUCUGUUGUUAAGGAAGAACGAGUGUGAGAAUGGAAAGUUC